rnacentral:rRNA from 1 species
GUUUUUGACCAAAUCACCCAGAAUACACCCAUUCGCAUCUGAUCUCGGAAUGCUAAUGAGGGUUUGGUCUAGUUAAGUGCCUUGAUGGGUGACCCCCAGGUUCAAAAUAGUUGAAUAUA